rnacentral:rRNA from 1 species
AUUGAACGCUGGCGGCAGGCCUAACACAUGCAAGUCGAACGAGUGGCGGACGGGUGAGUAAUGUCUGGGAAACUGCCUGAUGGAGGGGGAUAACUACUGGAAACGGUAGCUAAUACCGCAUACCAUCGGAUGUUCCCAGAUGGGAGUAGCUAGUAGGUGGGGGAAAGGCUCACCUAGGCGACUAUCCAUAGCUGGUCUGAGAGGAUGAACAGCCACACUGGAAUUGAGACCAGGUCCAGACUCCUACGGGAGGCAGCAGUGGGGAAUAUUGCACAUUGGGCGCAAGCCUGAUGCAGCCAUGCCGCGUGUAUGAAGAAGGCCUUCGGGUUGGAAAGUACUUUCAGCGGGGAGGCGUUACCCGCAGAAGAAGCACCGGCUAACGCCGGGCCAGCAGCCGCGGUAAUAC